rnacentral:rRNA from 1 species
GACGAACGCUGGCGGCGUGCUUAACACAUGCAAGUCGAACGAAGAGCGAUGGAAGCUUGCUUCUAUCAAUCUUAGUGGCGAACGGGUGAGUAACGCGUAAUCAACCUGCCCUUCAGAGGGGGACAACAGUUGGAAACGACUGCUAAUACCGCAUACGAUCUAACCUCGGCAUCGAGGAUGGAUGAAAGGUGGCCUCUAUUUAUAAGCUAUCACUGAAGGAGGGGAUUGCGUCUGAUUAGCUAGUUGGAGGGGUAACGGCCCACCAAGGCGAUGAUCAGUAGCCGGUCUGAGAGGAUGAACGGCCACAUUGGGACUGAGACACGGCCCAGACUCCUACGGGAGGCAGCAGUGGGGAAUCUUCCGCAAUGGACGAAAGUCUGACGGAGCAACGCCGCGUGAGUGAUGACGGCCUUCGGGUUGUAAAGCUCUGUUAAUCGGGACGAAAGGCCUUCUUGCGAAUAGUUAGAA